rnacentral:rRNA from 1 species
AUUGAACGCUGGCGGCAUGCCUUACACAUGCAAGUCGAACGGCAGCACGGGUGCUUGCACCUGGUGGCGAGUGGCGAACGGGUGAGUAAUACAUCGGAACGUACCUUAUCGUGGGGGAUAACGCAGCGAAAGCUGUGCUAAUACCGCAUCCGCCCUGAGGGGGAAAGCGGGGGAUCGCAAGACUCCGCGCGACUAGAGCGGCCGAUGCCUGAUUAGCUAGUUGGUGGGGUAAAAGCCCACCAAGGCGACGAUCAGUAGCUGGUCUGAGAGGACGAUCAGCCACACUGGGACUGAGACACGGCCCAGACUCCUACGGGAGGCAGCAGUGGGGAAUUUUGGACAAUGGGGGCAACCCUGAUCCAGCAAUGCCGCGUGAGUGAAGAAGGCCUUCGGGUUGUAAAGCUCUUUUGUCAGGGAAGAAACACCGGCUCUAACACAGUCCGGGAAUGACGGUACCUGAAGAAUAAGCACCGGCUAACUACGCGCCAGCCGCCGCCGUAA